CCCCGGUAAACGGCGGCCGUAACUAUAACGGUCCUAAGGUAGCGAAAUUCCUUGUCGGGUAAGUUCCGACCUGCACGAAUGGCGUAAUGAUGGCCAGGCUGUCUCCACCCGAGACUCAGUGAAAUUGAACUCGCUGUGAAGAUGCAGUGUACCCGCGGCAAGACGGAAAGACCCCGUGAACCUUUACUAUAGCUUGACACUGAACAUUGAGCCUUGAUGUGUAGGAUAGGUGGGAGGCUUUGAAGUGUGGACGCCAGUCUGCAUGGAGCCGACCUUGAAAUACCACCCUUUAAUGUUUGAUGUUCUAACGUGGACCCGUAAUCCGGGUUGCGGACAGUGUCUGGUGGGUAGUUUGACUGGGGCGGUCUCCUCCUAAAGAGUAACGGAGGAGCACGAAGGUUGGCUAAUCCUGGUCGGACAUCAGGAGGUUAGUGCAAUGGCAUAAGCCAGCUUGACUGCGAGCGUGACGGCGCGAGCAGGUGCGAAAGCAGGUCAUAGUGAUCCGGUGGUUCUGAAUGGAAGGGCCAUCGCUCAACGGAUAAAAGGUACUCCGGGGAUAACAGGCUGAUACCGCCCAAGAGUUCAUAUCGACGGCGGUGUUUGGCACCUCGAUGUCGGCUCAUCACAUCCUGGGGCUGAAGUAGGUCCCAAGGGUAUGGCUGUUCGCCAUUUAAAGUGGUACGCGAGCUGGGUUUAGAACGUCGUGAGACAGUUCGGUCCCUAUCUGCCGUGGGCGCUGGAGAACUGA
rnacentral:rRNA from 1 species